rnacentral:rRNA from 1 species
UACGGAGGGUGCGAGCGUUAAUCGGAAUUAUUGGGCGUAAAGGGUGCGUAGGUGGUUAAUUAAGAGAGCGGUGAAAUACCUGGGCUUAACCUUGGGGAGAACGCUAAGACUGAUUAACUGGAGUAAGGGAGAGGGUAGUGGAAUUUCCGGUGUAGCGGUGAAAUGCGUAGAGAUCGGAAGGAACACCGGUGGCGAAGGCGACUACCUGGCCUAAUACUGACACUGAGGCACGAAAGCGUGGGGAGCAAACAGG